rnacentral:rRNA from 1 species
CCUACGGGAGGCAGCAGUGGGGAAUAUUGGGCAAUGGGCGCAAGCCUGACCCAGCAACGCCGCGUGAAGGAAGAAGGCCUUCGGGUUGUAAACUUCUUUUCUCAGGGACGAAGCAUGUGACGGUACCUCCGGACUAAGCCACGGCUAACUACGUGCCAGCAGCCGCGGUAAUACGUAGGUGGCAAGCGUUAUCCGGAUUUACUGGUUGUAAAGGGCGUGUAGGCGGGAAAGCAAGUCAGCUGUGAAAACCAUGGGCUCACCCGGUGGCCUGCAUUUGAUACUGUUUUUCUUGAGUACUGGAGAGGCAGGCGGAAUGCGUGGUGUAGCGGUGAAAUGCGUAGAUAUUAGGAGGAACACCAGUGGCGAAGGCGGUCUGCUGGACAGCAACUGACGCUGAGGCGCGAAAGCGUGGGGAGCAAACAGGAUUAGAUACCCUAGUAGUC